rnacentral:lncRNA from 1 species
AUUCAGAAAGACACUGCAAAGCAGAGCAAAGCCUCUUUUCUGCCUUCCACAGCUCAGAGAAAAAUACCUAGGGUAUCUCAGCCUCCUGAAUAUACCCCUGCAGUCACAGUGUUCAGCUGCUUGGUGUAGGAAUCCCUGCUCUGAGAACUCCCCCAGGCCAUCAUCUAACAAGAGGCACCAGCGCUGGAUGGGAUGCCAUGUGCCAUUUCCUAGCAGCAGUGCCAGUCCCAGCCCCUCCACCUGCCUACCUGCAGUGCCAAGGGCACCGAAACAACUGCUUCUCAACCAGCUGGAAGUUCAUGGAAAUGUUCUGUUCUCUCUCAGAAAUGAUUGAAAAGAGUGUGGUAUAGAGUUGUUAAAUAAUGACCUUCCUGAAGAUUAAUAAGGAGCAGUUGCAACAUUUCAUAAG